rnacentral:rRNA from 1 species
GGUUAAGCGACUAAGCGUACACGGUGGAUGCCCUGGCAGUCAGAGGCGAUGAAGGACGUGCUAAUCUGCGAAAAGCGCCGGCGAGGUGAUAUGAACCUUUGACCCGGCGAUGUCCGAAUGGGGAAACCCAGUGCAAUCCGUUGCACUAUCGUUAACUGAAUACAUAGGUUAACGAGGCGAACCGGGGGAACUGAAACAUCUAAGUACCCCGAGGAAAAGAAAUCAACCGAGAUUCCCCCAGUAGCGGCGAGCGAACGGGGAGCAGCCCGGAGUCUGAAUCAGCUUGUGUGUUAGUGGAACGGUCUGGAAAGUCCGACGGUACAGGGUGAUAGUCCCGUACACGAAAGCACACAUGCUGUGAACUCGAAGAGUAGGGCGGGACACGUGGUAUCCUGUCUGAAUAUGGGGGGACCAUCCUCCAAGGCUAAAUACUCCUGACUGACCGAUAGUGAACCAGUACCGUGAGGGAAAGGCGAAAAGAACCCCGGCGAGGGGAGUGAAAAAGAACCUGAAACCGUGUACGUACAAGCAGUGGGAGCCUCUUUAUGGGGUGACUGCGUACCUUUUGUAUAAUGGGUCAGCGACUUAUAUUCUGUAGCAAGGUUAACCGUAUAGGGGAGCCGAAGGGAAACCGAGUCUUAACUGGGCGUUAAGUUGCAGGGUAUAGACCCGAAACCCGGUGAUCUAGCCAUGGGCAGGUUGAAGGUUGGGUAACACUAACUGGAGGACCGAACCGACUAAUGUUGAAAAAUUAGCGGAUGACCUGUGGCUGGGGGUGAAAGGCCAAUCAAACCGGGAGAUAGCUGGUUCUCCCCGAAAGCUAUUUAGGUAGCGCCUCGUGAACUCAUCUUCGGGGGUAGAGCACUGUUUCGGCUAGGGGGCCAUCCCGGCUUACCAACCCGAUGCAAACUACGAAUACCGAAGAAUGUUAUCACGGGAGACACACGGCGGGUGCUAACGUCCGUCGUGAAGAGGGAAACAACCCAGACCGCCAGCUAAGGUCCCAAAGUCAUGGUUAAGUGGGAAACGAUGUGGGAAGGCACAGACAGCCAGGAUGUUGGCUUAGAAGCAGCCAUCAUUUAAAGAAAGCGUAAUAGCUCACUGGUCGAGUCGGCCUGCGCGGAAGAUGUAACGGGGCUAAACCAUGCACCGAAGCUGCGGCAGCGACACUAUGUGUUGUUGGGUAGGGGAGCGUUCUGUAAGCCGUUGAAGGUGUGCUGUGAGGCAUGCUGGAGGUAUCAGAAGUGCGAAUGCUGACAUAAGUAACGAUAAAGCGGGUGAAAAGCCCGCUCGCCGGAAGACCAAGGGUUCCUGUCCAACGUUAAUCGGGGCAGGGUGAGUCGACCCCUAAGGCGAGGCCGAAAGGCGUAGUCGAUGGGAAACAGGUUAAUAUUCCUGUACUUGGUGUUACUGCGAAGGGGGGACGGAGAAGGCUAUGUCAGCCGGGCGACGGUUGUCCCGGUUUAAGCAUGUAGGCGGAGGUUCCAGGUAAAUCCGGUACCUUUUAACGCUGAGGUGUGAUGACGAGGCACUACGGUGCUGAAGUGAUAAAUGCCCUGCUUCCAGGAAAAGCCUCUAAGCAUCAGGUAACAUCAAAUCGUACCCCAAACCGACACAGGUGGUCAGGUAGAGAAUACCAAGGCGCUUGAGAGAACUCGGGUGAAGGAACUAGGCAAAAUGGUGCCGUAACUUCGGGAGAAGGCACGCUGAUGUGUAGGUGAAGCCCCUGCGGGCGGAGCUGAAAUCAGUCGAAGAUACCAGCUGGCUGCAACUGUUUAUUAAAAACACAGCACUGUGCAAACACGAAAGUGGACGUAUACGGUGUGACGCCUGCCCGGUGCCGGAAGGUUAAUUGAUGGGGUUAGCGGCAACGCGAAGCUCUUGAUCGAAGCCCCGGUAAACGGCGGCCGUAACUAUAACGGUCCUAAGGUAGCGAAAUUCCUUGUCGGGUAAGUUCCGACCUGCACGAAUGGCGUAAUGAUGGCCAGGCUGUCUCCACCCGAGACUCAGUGAAAUUGAACUCGCUGUGAAGAUGCAGUGUACCCGCGGCAAGACGGAAAGACCCCGUGAACCUUUACUAUAGCUUGACACUGAACACUGGUCCUUGAUGUGUAGGAUAGGUGGGAGGCUUUGAAGCGUGGACGCCAGUCUGCGUGGAGCCGACCUUGAAAUACCACCCUUUAAUGGCUGGUGUUCUAACGUAGACCCGUAAUCCGGGUUGCGGACAGUGUCUGGUGGGUAGUUUGACUGGGGCGGUCUCCUCCCAAAGAGUAACGGAGGAGCACGAAGGUUGGCUAAUCCUGGUCGGACAUCAGGAGGUUAGUGCAAUGGCAUAAGCCAGCUUGACUGCGAGCGUGACGGCGCGAGCAGGUGCGAAAGCAGGUCAUAGUGAUCCGGUGGUUCUGAAUGGAAGGGCCAUCGCUCAACGGAUAAAAGGUACUCCGGGGAUAACAGGCUGAUACCGCCCAAGAGUUCAUAUCGACGGCGGUGUUUGGCACCUCGAUGUCGGCUCAUCACAUCCUGGGGCUGAAGUAGGUCCCAAGGGUAUGGCUGUUCGCCAUUUAAAGUGGUACGCGAGCUGGGUUUAGAACGUCGUGAGACAGUUCGGUCCCUAUCUGCCGUGGGCGCUGGAGAAUUGAGGGGGGCUGCUCCUAGUACGAGAGGACCGGAGUGGACGCAUCACUGGUGUUCGGGUUGUCAUGCCAAUGGCACUGCCCGGUAGCUAAAUGCGGAAGAGAUAAGUGCUGAAAGCAUCUAAGCACGAAACUUGCCCCGAGAUGAGUUCUCCCUGAGACUUUAAGUCUCCUGAAGGAACGUUGAAGACGACGACGUUGAUAGGUCGGGUGUGUAAGCGCAGCGAUGCGUUGAGCUAACCGAUACUAAUGAACCGUGAGGCUUAACCUU